GGAGGUGAGGGCAAUCUGGCUGUGACAUCUGUCACCCCAUUGAUCUCAAGGGUUGACUGGGCUGAUCUGGCUGGCUAGGUGGGUAUCCCCUUCCUCCCUCACCAUUCCAUGUGCAUUCUUUCCAAAGCUGCGCUGUAGGUGGAAGAUGAUGACCAUCCCCAGCACAGGAGGACCAAUCUUUGAUCAAGAGUAUACCAGUAGUUGUGCUCCCAUGCUAGAACCUCCAAAUAAGCUCUCAAGUUCAUAUACUCUCUUAACAUACAUUCACCUCCUUCAAUUUUGCCUUUCAAAUAAGAAUUAGUA
rnacentral:sRNA from 1 species